rnacentral:rRNA from 1 species
CUGUGCAAAGGUAGCAUAAUCAUUAGUUUUUUAAUUGAAAGCUGGAAUGAAGGGUUUAAUAAAAAAAAUACUGUCUCGGUGUUAAAUUUAAAAUUUUAUUUUUAAGUUAAAAAGCUUAAAUGGAUUAAGGAGACGAGAAGACCCUAUAGAGUUUAAUAAAUAACAAAUUUAAUAGUGUUUGAUUUAAUUUUCAUUGAGUGAGGGAGAUUAUUUUGUUGGGGUGAUGUGAAAAUUAAGUUAACUUUUCAUUUAUUAUAGCAUUAAUUUAUGGUUUAUUGAUCCUGAUUUUUAGAUUAUAAGAUUAAAUUACCUUAGGGAUAACAGCGUAAUUAUUUUAGAGAGUUCUUAUCGAAAAAAUAGAUUGCGACCUCGAUGUUGGAUUAAAAUUAAAUUUUGGUGUAGAAGCUGAAAAUUUGAGUCUGUUCGACUUUUAAAAUU